rnacentral:rRNA from 1 species
GACGAACGCUGGCGGCGUGCUUAACACAUGCAAGUCGAACGGAAAGGCCCUGCUUUUGUGGUGUUCUCGAGUGGCGAACGGGUGAGUAACACGUGAGUAACCUGCCCUUGACUUUGGGAUAACUUCAGGAAACUGGGGCUAAUACCGUAUAGGAGCUCCUGCUGCAUGGUGGGGGUUGGAAAUUUUCGGCGGUUGGGGAUGGACUCGCGGCUUAUCAGCUUGUUGGUGGGGUAGUGGCUUACCAAGGCUUUGACGGGUAGCCGGCCUGAGAGGGUGACCGGCGACAUUGGGACUGAGAUACGGACCAGACUCCUACGGGAGGCAGCAGUGGGGAAUAUUGCACAAUGGGCGGAAGCCUGAUGCAGCAACGCCGCGUUCGGGAUGACGGCCUUCGGGUUGUAAACCGCUUUAGCCUGUGACGAAGCGUGAGUGACGGUAAUGGGUAAAGAAGCACCGGCUAACUACGUG